rnacentral:rRNA from 1 species
CUACGCCGCGUGCGAGAUGAAGGCCUUCGGGUUGUAAUCGCUUUUACCAGGAAGGAAACUGACAGUACCUGGAGAAUAAGGUGCGGCCAACUACGUGCCAGCAGCCGCGGUGACACGUAGGCACCAAGCGUUGUCCGGAUUUAUUGGGCGUAAAGAGCUCGUAGGCGGUUCAGUAAGACGGGUGUGAAAACUCUGGGCUUAACCCAGAGACGCCACCCGAUACUGCUGUGACUUGAGUCCGGUAGGGGAGUGGGGAAUUCCUGGUGUAGCGGUGAAAUGCGCAGAUAUCAGGAGGAACACCAAUGGCGAAGGCACCACUCUGGGCCGAGACUGACGCUGAGGAGCGAAAGCGUGGGUAGCAAACAGGAUUAGAUACCCUGGUAGUCCACGCCGUAAACGGUGGGCACUAGAUGUGGGUUCCAACCAACGGGAUCCGCGCCGUCGCUAACGCAUUAAGUGCCCCGCCUGGGGAGUACGGCCGCAAGGUUAAAACUCAAAGGAAUUGACGGGGGCCCGAACAAGCAGCGGAGCGUGUUGCUUAAUUCGAUGCUACGCGAAGAAACUUACCUGGGUUUGACAUGUACGGAAAAGCCACAGAGAUGUGGUGUCCUUCGG